rnacentral:lncRNA from 1 species
AAUCUUCUUCCUUCCCUUGUUUAGACUAGGUCCUCUUAAGGAUGAGAAGUCUAUUUUAGGACAAGGGAUUAGGAAGAUCAUUAGGAAAGAUCAAAAGAAAAAAGAAGUCAGAAAGAAGUGCGAGAGAUAGGCAUUAGGAAUAACACUUAUUGAAGUGUGUUCUUGCCAAGAAAGAUUGAUCGAAUUCUUCAUAGAAGAAUUGAUCAAUAGGAACCAACAUGUGAAGAGCUAGUGUCUUGACUCUGUUCCUAUGUAGAUCAAUAUUGGAGGGCAAAUACUUGGGUGUCUAGUGGAAAGAUAGAAUACUGGCUUCUUCCUAUCUACAUCAGCUUAAGAUAUGAUGUUUAUCUUCACCAUGCUUAUUAUUUACAUCAUUGAAUGUCAUCAAGGGGUUCUUGGGUUUAGGGUUUGACUAAUUAAAGAUUUCAUUAUACUAAAAAUUUUGAAGUUCAUACUUUCAUUGUGCUCAUCAAACCCUACAGUAGUUUCAGAGCUUUAUUUUAGUUCAAUCAUAUGAUCAUAUGCUUGUAUUUUUGAAUUAAGCAUGUUAUGAAUUCAUAUAAUUUGAUAUGAUUUGAUUCAUAUGUAAUAUGUGUAGUAAAGGAUUGAAUUCUUAGUAGCCAAAUAUUUUUUUGAGAACCAUAGUAAAGUUCAUCUUGCCAUAGAGGACUAUGGUGCAAGGGGUGCCUGUAUGAAUCAAGAAAAAGAAUUAUGAAAAGAUGAUA